rnacentral:rRNA from 1 species
UACGGAGGGUGCAAGCGUUAAUCGGAAUUGCUGGGCGUAAAGCGCGCGUAGGCGGCUAGAUAAGUCGGAUGUGAAAGCCCCGGGCUCAAACUGGGAACUGCAUUCGAUACUGUUUGGCUAGAGUAUGAGAGAGGGAGGUAGAAUUCCACGUGUAGCGGUGAAAUGCGUAGAUAUGUGGAUGAAUACCGGUGGCGAAGGCGGCCUCCUGGCUUAAUACUGACGCUGAGGUGCGAAAGCAUGGGGAGCAAACAGU